rnacentral:rRNA from 1 species
GAUAAACGCUGGCGGCGUGCCUAACACAUGCAAGUCGAACGAAGAGGCUCCUUCGGGAGUACUUCAGUGGCGGACGGGUGAGUAACACGUAGGUGACCUACCCCAAAGCGGGGAAUAACAGUCCGAAAGGAUUGCUAAUACCCCAUGUGGUCGUUGAGUCUAGAUGCUUGGCGACUAAAGGAGCAAUCCGUUUUGGGAGGGGCCUGCGCCCAUCAGCUAGUUGGUAGGGUAAUGGCCUACCAAGGCUACAACGGGUAGGGGGCCUGAGAGGGUGACCCCCCACAUUGGCACUGACACACGGGCCAAACACCUACGGGUGGCUG